UACGUAGGGUGCAAGCGUUGUUCGGAAUUACUGGGCGUAAAGCGCGUGCAGGCGGUUCGGGAAGUCGGUUGUGAAAGCCCCGAGCUCAACUCGGGAAUUGCGUCCGAAACUGCCGGACUGGAGUCCCGGAGAGGAAGGCAGAAUUCCCAAUGUAGGGGUGAAAUCCGUAGAUAUUGGGAGGAAUACCGGCUGCGAAGGCGGCCUUCUGGACGGUGACUGACGCUGAGACGCGAAAGCGUGGGGAGCAAACAGG
rnacentral:rRNA from 1 species